UACGUAGGUGGCAAGCGUUGUCCGGAAUUAUUGGGCGUAAAGCGCGUGUAGGUGGUGGGACAAGUCUGCUGUGAAAGCGCCUGGCUUAACCGGGCGAGGUCGGCGGAAACUGUCCGACUAGAGGACGGUAGAGGGGGGUGGAAUUCCCGGUGUAGUGGUGAAAUGCGUAGAGAUCGGGAGGAACACCUGUGGCGAAGGCGGCCCCCUGGGCCGGCCCUGACACUGAGACGCGAAGGCGUGGGGAGCGAACGGG
rnacentral:rRNA from 1 species